rnacentral:rRNA from 1 species
GAUGAACGCUAGCGGCAGGCUUAAUACAUGCAAGUCGAGGGGGAUCAGUUGGGUAGCAAUACCCGGCUGUGAGACCGGCAAACGGGUGCGGAACACGUACGCAACCUUCCCAAAACUGGUGAAUAGCCCUCCGAAAGGAGGAUUAAUACACCGUAACAUAUAGAGGUGGCAUCAUCUUUAUAUUAUAGCUCCGGCGGUUUUGGAUGGGCGUGCGCCUGAUUAGGUAGUUGGCGGGGUAACGGCCCACCAAGCCUACGAUCAGUAACUGGUGUGAGAGCACGACCAGUCACACGGGCACUGAGACACGGGCCCGACUCCUACGGGAGGCAGCAGUAAGGAAUAUUGGUCAAUGGACGAAAGUCUGAACCAGCCAUGCCGCGUGAAGGAUGACGGCCCUCUGGGUUGUAAACUUCUUUUAUCUGGGACGAAAAAAGAUCAUUCCUGAUCACUUGACGGUACCAGAGGAAUAAGCACCGGCUAACUCCGUG